UAUAUUCCGGUCAAUCAUCCAGAUUUGUAAUAGUGAAUAGAACCGUGUGACGAAUUUGCAUUUUUUCUCACCAAACGUUUAUAGCUAAAUACAUAGUGAUGCGUGUACAGCCAACACAGCGUGAAAAAUUUACACCGAAUCCAAACCUUCUAGAGUGAAGAUGUGUAUUUCAGGUUUAAAAUAGCUUGAAAACCAACAGCGGUGGACAGAACCGUACAGUGCGAUGAUAAAUCUUGAUCAGGAAACUAUUAUUAGUUUAUUGAUAAUUAAAUUGUUCCCUCUGCCGCUGCAGCGGGCGGUGGACAGGGACAGGUCGGCAGAUCAGCGAGUGUUUUGCAGCCUUGAUACCGUAAAACCUGCCGUGAGCAAUAAAUAACGUGUUGGGCAUCGGCACCGAACAAGAGACGGGUACAAGCAGAGUGUUGCUAACAAGUGUUUUUCUUUCCACGAGCCACCCUUGCAGACGGGAACACGCUUGACUUCCGGAAUAAGGAUAAAAUUCAAUUACCAGUUUCAUCAUCAACUAAACGGCAUAGUGCAGUGUUCUGUGACGAUUAUGUUAUUUCAUUAGAAACACUAGAUAUGUGAGUGCCAUCAUAGCGGCAGCAAGCAAACGGAAAUCGUCCUCUUUCUUCGUUCGCUUUCACCGGACUUUGACGGUACAGCGGCAACGAGAACGGUACAGCCUGGGACCAACCUCUUUCCAGCACAAUCUGCGAUGGAAUAAAGAGCUUUGGCGAUACAA